rnacentral:rRNA from 1 species
GACGUAGGGGGCGAGCGUUGUCCGGAUUUAUUGGGCGUAAAGCGCGCGUAGGCGGCCUGUUAAGUCGGGUGUGAAAACCCGGGGCUCAACCCCGGGCCUGCAUUCGAUACUGGCAGGCUAGAGGCAGGCAGGGGAGAUCGGAAUUCCUGGUGUAGCGGUGAAAUGCGCAGAUAUCAGGAGGAACACCGGUGGCGAAGGCGGAUCUCUGGGCCUGUCCUGACGCUCAGGCGCGAAAGCUAGGGGAGCAAACAGG